GUGCUGCUGAAGAAUCCCACAAUUGGACGAAACGGUUGUCCAGUAC
rnacentral:hammerhead_ribozyme from 1 species